CAAACGACUCUCGGCAACGGAUAUCUCGGCUCACGCAUCGAUGAAGAACGUAGCAAAAUGCGAUACUUGGUGUGAAUUGCAGAAUCCCGUGAACCAUCGAGUUUUUGAACGCAAGUUGCGCCCGAAGCCUUUCGGCCAAGGGCACGUCUGCCUGGGCGUCACG
rnacentral:rRNA from 1 species